rnacentral:pre_miRNA from 1 species
UCAUUUUUGUGGUUUGCAGCUAGUACUCUGGCUCCAGUUGCAUAGUCAUAAAAAUGAGC